rnacentral:tRNA from 1 species
AAAUAAAUAACUAAGGCAAGUUUAUCUCUUACAACGAUAAAAUGAUUAUAAAAAUCUUUAUUUA